rnacentral:rRNA from 1 species
CCAUUGGAAACGAUGGAUAAUACCGCAUAAUACCUUCGGGUCAAAGAGGGGGACCUUCGGGCCUCUCGCGUCAGGAUAUGCCUAGGUGGGAUUAGCUAGUUGGUGAGGUAAUGGCUCACCAAGGCGACGAUCCCUAGCUGGUCUGAGAGGAUGAUCAGCCACACUGGAACUGAGACACGGUCCAGACUCCUACGGGAGGCAGCAGUGGGGAAUAUUGCACAAUGGGCGCAAGCCUGAUGCAGCCAUGCCGCGUGUGUGAAGAAGGCCUUCGGGUUGUAAAGCACUUUCAGUCGUGAGGAAGGUAGUGUAGUUAAUAGCUGCAUUAUUUGACGUUAGCGACAGAAGAAGCACCGGCUAACUCCGUGCCAGCAGCCGCGGUAAUACGGAGGGUGCGAGCGUUAAUCGGAAUUACUGGGCGUAAAGCGCAUGCAGGUGGUUUGUUAAGUCAGAUGUGAAAGCCCGGGGCUCAACCUCGGAAUAGCAUUUGAAACUGGCAGACUAGAGUACUGUAGAGGGGGGUAGAAUUUCAGGUGUAGCGGUGAAAUGCGUAGAGAUCUGAAGGAAUACCGGUGGCGAAGGCGGCCCCCUGGACAGAUACUGACACUCAGAUGCGAAAGCGUGGGGAGCAAACAGGAUUAGAUACCCUGGUAGUCCACGCCGUAAACGACUGUCUACUUGGAGGUUGUGGCCUUGAGCCGUGGCUUUCGGAGCUAACGCGUUAAGUAGACCGCCUGGGGAGUACGGUCGCAAGAUUAAAACUCAAAUGAAUUGACGGGGGCCCGCACAAGCGGUGGAGCAUGUGGUUUAAUUCGAUGCAACGCGAAGAACCUUACCUACUCUUGACAUCCAGAGAACUUUCCAGAGAUGGAUUGGUGCCUUCGGGAACUCUGAGACAGGUGCUGCAUGGCUGUCGUCAGCUCGUGUUGUGAAAUGUUGGGUUAAGUCCCGCAACGAGCGCAACCCUUAUCCUUGUUUGCCAGCACUUCGGGUGGGAACUCCAGGGAGACUGCCGGUGAUAAACCGGAGGAAGGUGGGGACGACGUCAAGUCAUCAUGGCCCUUACGAGUAGGGCUACACACGUGCUACAAUGGCGCAUACAGAGGGCGGCCAACUUGCGAGAGUGAGCGAAUCCCAAAAAGUGCGUCGUAGUCCGGAUCGGAGUCUGCAACUCGACUCCGUGAAGUCGGAAUCGCUAGUAAUCGUGGCUCCGAUAU